GCUGACCAUUGGUAGGACCAACCAAUGAUAUAAUGGCAUGUCGUUACCUAGCAACAGGAAAUAUCUUCCUUGCCACCCUUAAUGAUGUUUACCUGCGCUGUGCUUUGCUCUGCGUCCUACCUAGCGGUGCGGAGAGAGCAGAUUGCGUAUCAUGUGUAGGCGGCUUAAAUCUGUGAAGAGGAGGGG